AAGGUGCGUCUCAUAGUCCCGGGUGACGUCAUCCAUUACCGGUGUGUCGCGGGAGUGUUUGUCCGUGUGGACUGAGGAAUCCUGUGGUACAACACGAGUCGUACCAGAUUGUCUGUUUAUAUCCUGGAGUUUAAUUCCCUGUGUACGGCAAGGAGUUGAAUCCGGCUGCAGUGCCGCGUGAAGUAUGUCUAAGCCCUCUGUUCCCAUGUCGUGGAGACGAUUUGUAGUAAUCACCGCUGAAGAUGUGUUUUUUACUUGGACAUACUACAGUACAACCUUAUCACAA